rnacentral:rRNA from 1 species
UACAGAGGUCCCAAGCGUUGUUCGGAUUCACUGGGCGUAAAGGGUGCGUAGGUGGUGAGGUAAGUCGGAUGUGAAAUCUCUGAGCUUAACUCAGAAAUGGCAUUGGAAACUACCUUGCUUGAGGAUUGGAGGGGGGACUGGAAUUCUCGGUGUAGCAGUGAAAUGCGUAGAGAUCGAGAGGAACACCAGUGGCGAAGGCGAGUCCCUGGACAAUACCUGACGCUGAGGCACGAAAGCUAGGGGAGCAAACAGG